ACGGCCAUGGCGCGGGGGUCCCGGCCACGCCGGGGGCGCAGCGCCUCUGCCGCCUCUCCGUGUGGAUCUGGCAGACGGUCAUCCACCUGCUGCAGAUGGGGCAGGUGUGGAGCUCUAAGCGAAAGACAUGAGGCCUAAGACUGAAAUGAGGUUGUUUUGAGGCCAUCUGAUUUCUGGCUAGAAGGUGUGCGAUCGCCUCGUCCUGAAACCACUGCAGACAGAAUGGUUUGCAAUUUUUUUUGGUGAUGGCAUGUUCAGACUCUUGGAUCCCUAAGUUGAAUAUGUUGGAAAUAUUUAGGAACUCUGGAAAUUGUUGUUUUUGUAUAUAUAAUGACUUUCUAGGUGAACCAAUAGAUUUAAUAAAAAGUAUAUAAAAGAAUAGGCAUUAUAAUUUUGUAUUUCUAAGUUAGCAUCAUGUCUCAAAUUCUCAGCUAUCAUUAUUAGUGUCAUACUCUGGAGACAGUUAUCUUUUGAAGAUUUGGGGGCUCUCAUGGACCUCAUAUUUUCCCAGGCAGUUCAUGUAAUCCUCCCAUGUCAAUUUGGUCAGCUUCUUUGCCUGCCUACCCUGUAGGGUAGCUUACUUAGAUCAGAGGUGAUUCUUGAUCGGGAAGAGAGAAGGUAAAAUGAUCAUCAGGUGAGUGCUCGCUUCGGCAGCACAUACGCUAAGAUUCGAACGCUACAGAGAAGAUUAUCAUGGCCCCUGUGCAAGGAUGACAUGCAAAUUUGUGAAGCGUUCCAUAUUUUUUUAUUAAUUAAAAAAAUCAUCAGGUGACAGUCCUAAAGGUAGUAAUUACAGAACUUCAACCUGGAAAUGGCCUCAACAUGGUCUAUAUCAGAAUAUGCAAAUUCUAUCUGAUAUAUCCAAGUACAUUUGUGGCAAAAUGCUGCCAAUUUUCAAGUUAGAUAUUAUUACGUGGGACGGAAGUGCCAAUGAGGAGGGAAAGGAGCUGCUCAGUUUCACCUCCUCCUCUUUCCCUGUUGUCGAGUGAAUAAAUUUGGAAAGGAAAAUGCCAAGAGGCAGACUUUGUGAAUGAAAAGAAGGAACAAAACCUGACUUUCCAGGAAGGACUGUUUCCCUAAAAAAUUUGAAAGUUGCCUAUAUUCUAUGUACACUGUUUUAAAACUAUAGGCUACUUUUCACGUAGACCCAGAAUGUGAACUAGGUCAUUCUUGACCCUAGAAAUGGGUGGAGAUGUAUUUGAUAGGAGAAUCAGUGCCUGGGUGACUGGAGUUCCAUUAUUGGUGGUUAUCUUCUCUGGCCUGUUCCUGCUGGGAUUAGGGACUUGAGGAACAUUCUGGGUGGGUAGUUAUUUUGAUGGUCAAAUAUGAUUGCCUCCCUAUCCUUUUGACCAAAACUGGAGAAAGAUUGAUUUUUUUUUUUAAGACCAUAUUCAGAGCAACUUGGAAAAGGAUUAAAGGGAAAGGAUAAGUAGAAUUCAGGGAACUAUAGAGAUUGAGUGGUAGCUCAGUAGGAUGUUAAUUAUUUGUUUUUUGCAAGUUUUAUUAUUGGUAGAUUAUCCAGUAAUACAGAAAUUGGUGUAGAACAGAAGUUUUCAUAACAUUUCUAUUAGAAGGCGUUUAGAAGCUAAAUAAACUACCCUGUAACCGCACCCUCCCCCCUUCUCCCUUGCUUUACUUGGUUAAAGAGGAAUUGGCUGAUAUAUAUUUAAUAAAUGGCACAAUGAAAACAUCAGAUAGAUUUUUUAAAAAUCAAGUUAUAUUUGAAUCUAAAUGUGUUGCCUAUUUAGCUGCCUUCCCAUUACAACUGGCUUUUACAAAACUCUCUUUCUGUGAUACUUUUGUCAAUAGAGGUGUUUCCUCUUAGCCAAUUCUAGCUACAAUAUUGACCGGGCCUAGGCAUUUGAUAUACCCUAAAGGAAUUAGGCAGGAAAAAACUUGGUCCCUACUGGAAUGAAUAUUUUAAAGACCUUCUUAGAUUCUGUGAACACUGUGAGUACAAAUGAAAGAGACCCAGGAGAGGGGAAAACUUAAGAGCCUAAAAAUAAAAAUGAUGGUGGGGAUGGGGGCGGGGUGGUAAGCUCUUAUAUAACUAAGCUAAGGUGCACUAAGUGCAGGGAAUUAGCUUCCUGGAGGUUAUGAGGUAGCGUGUGAAAUCCCUUGGACAGGAGGCAUUCCGAGGUUAAUUUGGGUACUUCACACUGGCAUUCCCCGCAGUAUUUUAAGGAUAGUGGCAGGUGAUCUUGGGAAAUAUCAGUGCAUUUCCUAACAGUGAGUUUGAUUUUAUUCUGGUAUGUUAUGAAUGGGCAUGUAGCUCAAAGAUUAGCUUAAUUCAAAAUCAAUAUCUUAAAUAUUAGAGAAAAUAUUAUAAAAAUGGGUCUUCGUCCCUGCUGUAUAACUUUCAAAAAUAAUGCAGAAUACUGAACAUAGUAGAGAAUUGAUGGCGUGAAUAUAAUCAGUAUUUGAUGGUUGCUUUCUAGAAACUUCUAAAUAAAACCUAAAUUUGUUUAAAGUUGUACUACAGUAGCAUUUCUAGUGUGUAUGUCUCAUGGGAAGGUCUCUACCUUCUUGGAUCUCACUGCACUUCACGGCCUUGCACAUCACUGUGAGGAUUCAGAAAUUGACUCAGUUACCCCGGGAUGAUUAGAUCUCUGGGUACAAUCAGUACAUAGGGGCACACAGAGAAAGUGAGCCUCGAACGAUGGCUACUUGUAUUUUGGAAGCUUUAAACCCCAUUUUGAAAACCGGCAGAAAGCUACGGAUCGUUUCCCCAACAAAACUGCAAUUUCUGAGGGUAGAGGGACGGCCCUUGGUUGUCAUUCAGGAUGCCCUGAUCUAAAAGACCAUCUUCAUUUUACUUCUGACCUUGCUCCAGCUUUGCUGUCACUCUCCGUCUGUAGUUCUCUGUCACCUUUGAAUGGAGCGCCAGAUCCUGAAGGAUGCUUACUGCCUUACACCCUGAACUGAAGCCACAGUCCAGAGCUUUGUGAUGUCAUGGAGCAAAAACUCUGCAAAGGGCUGCCCCAAAGGUGCAAAUGGUAAGAAUAGGGCCUGAGGCAUGGGACAGCCCUCCUAGGUAGUACCUACCUCCUGCUGGUUUAGGGGCAUUUAUUUCAUAGUCAGUUGAAUAUUAAUGUUUUGUUUUUUAAAAUGAGAGUAUUUCUCCUAAAAUUUUUAAUCAUUAUAAAGGUGUUCUACCUAAAUGUAACUUUUUUUCUCAUCUUUUAGGAUAUCACAUUCAUGGUGUGAAAUGUGUACUUCAAAUUAACAUAAUGACUGGAAAUUCGGGAUUCUGUUAUUUUGUGACUCUGAAAUUUGUAGCACAUUUUCAGGAAAACUGUUGAGAUUCCUAGAUAUUUUGUUCUUUAUUCAAGUUUCCUGCGUGUAUGAUUAUUUCUGAAUUUUAUUAAUCUAUUUGUAACUUUAGAGAAAACUGCCUUCAGUUCAUAUUUUGACACAGAAGGGAUGCUUUGAUUUAUCUUAUUAGAAACGUGUUUUGACAAAAAAUUCCAUUUCUCUGAUCUCCAUUUUGGAAUCUCAGAUCAACUGCUUGUUAUGGCAUUCAUUGGGACUUUUCUGCAAAAUACAGCUUCACUGAGAAGGUCAUCCUUGAAAAAUCAAGAAAUCUGCAGGAAGUAAUUUUGGGACCGAGUAGAAAGAUGGAAGAUCAUCAUCAGAUUACAGCACAGCACACUCUGGAAACGUCUUAGACUUCACUGCUUUUGUACGUGAAACAUAAUUUGAAUGUCUUUUAUGAAUUGGACCUGUAGACAGAUAACAUGUAUCUUGAAUGUAAGAAAAACACAACUCUAGCCUCUAAAACACUGCCGUCAGUACAGUCGACUCUUGAUCGUUCACACUGGUGGAGGGAGCCUGGGUCCUUCAGCUUAACUAAAGUUAGACAUCAUGUGUUCCGAUUCAAAGGUGUUUCUGUGUUCCUUUUGGAAUAUAGUGUUUGGACUUUUACAACAUGUGCCUCCCAAUUUCACCUGCCCUGAGAGAGGAGCCUGAGUUCAUCUGUGCCCAGAUGCUUGUUCUCUGUCCUUUUUUUUCUGUACUGUUGACCUAAGUGUGGGGAAAACGUUGAGCAUAUAGGAUUCCAAAAUUGAUCAGAAUCUGUUAAAUCUAUCCCACUUCUCCUUCCCAGGUAACUUUAUUCCAUUUCCUUUUCAGCUCUUCUAAAUGUUGCCCAAUUUUAGCCCCUUUGUCUUAGGUCAGGAUAGAAUUAUAACAGCACUGUCCAGGCUUCUUCCCUCUUGUCCUGUUUUGUUCUGCCUGUGAUGGGAGGUUUCCGUUGCUUUCCUCUGAAGGAGUGAGUCUACUUGUGUCCUUGCAUUUCCUUCUCCCUCCCUGCCUGCGGGGAAAUAGAAUAGAUCCAGACGUAGCAAUCUUGGCUCUCUAAGGUUUGCCUAUAAAAGUUCAUAGUAUUGUGUUUAAAAUAGAGCUUUUUAGCUGUGGUGUUGACAGGUGUCUCCAUUGGCCGCCUACUCUGUGCUGAUGCUCAGCUGGGUGUGGCUGUCCACUCUUGCCCUCACCACCCAGGCCUCUUGAGGCCAGGAGUGAACCCUCACCCUGCCUCGGGCACAGCAUGAGCCAGAAGUGACUUCUCCGUGAGCUUGCCUAGGUCCUGGAGUCAAGAGUUUAUGAGAUAGUUGAAGACAUCCAUAUGUUUUCCCCCAGAUGCUAGUAAAACAAAUCAUGUGCAGAGAAAAUGAUCACGUCAGUGAGAUUUUGAAAGCAAGAUUUGUCCAAAAAUAUGCCAGAUUUGAGGUUAACCUACAUGAACCCACAUUGACCAUCCAGGUAUGUCUUACUUUAAAAAAUACACAAAGUAACAUAACCCUUAGAAAAUAUUACCAAAUUAUCCUGACAUUUUCAAAAUGUGAUAGUACUCUAAACAUUUUUUUUUACAAGUAGCUUUCAGAAACACGUGCAAAUGUGUUUUGUGUAAAGGAGUAUAUACUGUAUAUAAUAUUCUGACUCUUGCUGU